rnacentral:rRNA from 1 species
AUUGAACGCUGGCGGAAUGCUUUACACAUGCAAGUCGAACGGUAGAGGGGGCAACCCCUUGAGAGUGGCGAACGGGUGAGUAAUAUAUCGGAACGUGCCCAGUCGUGGGGGAUAACGUAGUGAAAAUUACGCUAAUACCGCAUACGAUCUAAGGAUGAAAGCGGGGGAUCGCAAGACCUCGCGCGACUGGAGCGGCCGAUAUCAGAUUAGGUAGUUGGUAGGGUAAAGGCCUACCAAGCCAACGAUCUGUAGCUGGUCUGAGAGGACGACCAGCCACACUGGAACUGAGACACGGUCCAGACUCCUACGGGAGGCAGCAGUGGGGAAUUUUGGACAAUGGGCGAAAGCCUGAUCCAGCCAUUCCGCGUGCAGGAUGAAGGCCCUCGGGUUGUAAACUGCUUUUGUACAGAACGAAAAGGUUUCUAUUAAUACUAGGGGCUCAUGACGGUACUGUAAGAAUAAGCACCGGCUAACUACGUGCCAGCAGCCGCGGUAAUACGUAGGGUGCAAGCGUUAAUCGGAAUUACUGGGCGUAAAGCGUGCGCAGGCGGUUAUAUAAGUCAGAUGUGAAAUCCCCGGGCUCAACCUGGGAACUGCAUUUGAGACUGUAUAGCUAGAGUACGGUAGAGGGGGAUGGAAUUCCGCGUGUAGCAGUGAAAUGCGUAGAUAUGCGGAGGAACACCGAUGGCGAAGGCAA